GAUGAACGCUGGCGGCGUGCCUAAUACAUGCAAGUCGAGCGAACAGACGAGGAGCUUGCUCCUCUGACGUUAGCGGCGGACGGGUGAGUAACACGUGGAUAACCUACCUAUAAGACUGGGAUAACUUCGGGAAACCGGAGCUAAUACCGGAUAAUAUAUUGAACCGCAUGGUUCAAUAGUGAAAGACGGUUUUGCUGUCACUUAUAGAUGGAUCCGCGCCGCAUUAGCUAGUUGGUAAGGUAACGGCUUACCAAGGCAACGAUGCGUAGCCGACCUGAGAGGGUGAUCGGCCACACUGGAACUGAGACACGGUCCAGACUCCUACGGGAGGCAGCAGUAGGGAAUCUUCCGCAAUGGGCGAAAGCUUGACGGAGCAACGCCGCGGAGUGAUGAAGGUCUUCGGAUCGUAAAACUCUGUUAUUAGGGAAGAACAAAUGUGUAAGUAACUAUGCACGUCUUGACGGUACCUAAUCAGAAAGCCACGGCUAACUACGUG
rnacentral:rRNA from 1 species